rnacentral:rRNA from 1 species
GUCGAGGGGCAGCAUGUCGGUUGCUUGCAACCGAUGAUGGCGACCGGCGCACGGGUGAGUAACGCGUAUCCAACCUACCCUUGCCCAUCGGAUAACCCGUCGAAAGGCGGCCUAACACGAUAUGCGGUUCACAGCAGGCAUCUAACGUGAACGAAAUGUGAAGGAGAAGGAUGGGGAUGCGUCUGAUUAGCUUGUUGGCGGGGUAACGGCCCACCAAGGCGACGAUCAGUAGGGGUUCUGAGAGGAAGGUCCCCCACAUUGGAACUGAGACACGGUCCAAACUCCUACGGGAGGCAGCAGUGAGGAAUAUUGGUCAAUGGACGAGAGUCUGAACCAGCCAAGUAGCGUGCAGGAUGACGGCCCUAUGGGUUGUAAACUGCUUUUAUAGGGGGAUAAAGUGUGUCACGUGUGGCAUAUUGCAGGUACCCUAUGAAUAAGGACCGGCUAAUUCCGUGCCAGCAGCCGCGGUAAUACGGAAGGUCCGGGCGUUAUCCGGGAUUUAUUGGGUUUAAAGGGAGCGUAGGCCGUCUUAUAAGCGUGUUGUGAAAUGUCGGGGCUCAACCUGGGCAUUGCAGCGCGAACUGUGAGACUUGAGUGCGCAGGAAGUAGGCGGAAUUCGUCGUGUAGCGGUGAAAUGCUUAGAUAUGACGAAGAACUCCG